AAUCACUUCUGUGCGUUUGUAAGCUAAGGGAAGCAAUCAGUUGAAAGUUCAUGUCGAAGUGCGGCUUUUACGUGCUUGCUAACUACAGUCCUGGCUGCAGCCUCGAAGCAUUGCUAGACCUCAUCUGGAAGCACGCACUUAGUGCACUUUGCUAGCUAUUGUUUACAACAUCUCGCUAAAGAGAAAGGUACACAGUAACCUCCUUUCGAUUGCAGUGCAUCGCAUUAGCACAAAGACAACUCUGACGCUUCGUUGACUCGCCACAUCAGCUGAUUCCUGCCUUCGAUCAGCUGAAGUCAUUUAGGAAACAAAAUUUGCGCAAGUUGCAAGUCAUCACAUGUCAUAUGGGGUGAGGAUUUAUCAAGGUGCCAUGGCAACAAGCAAGGAAUUUGGAGAUCAGAUUAUCAGAGGUCAAGUCCCAGGAAGUAAUGAAGCCAUCAGCAGAGUCAGUAUGUCCGAUCAGUGUCUGGAUGAUCAUGGAAUUGUCUCAGAAGAGGCACAGCAUAUGUCAGUGGGAGUGGUAGAUGGCAUAUGUAACUUGCAUUGCACCUCUUAUCAAGAGAAUGAACCUGUUAAAGAUACUAAGCCACAAGAACUACCACAGCAUCUUAAAGUAGAUGGAAUUUUCACAGAAGAAGAGCUUGAACAGCCAGUGGAUGAAGCUUGUCUGGAAAAGAUUGCCAUGUACUGCCAUGUGUACAGAGUUGUGUGGAUCAGGCUAGGUUAGCCUUUGAACAGGACUUGAACGGAUUAAAACUCAGGGUGAAUGAAACAAGUAGUGCCAGAAUGCUGGAAGUACAACCCGUUGUGGCAGACACACUUCGACAUAAUUGUGUACAAGGUGAUGAAGAGUUUCUGUGCCAGCUGUUCCAUGCAUGGUGGUCACAGUGCCCAGACAAGCGAGUUUGUCGACUGGUCAAAGUACUUUGUGAAGUGGGAAUGAGAGAUGCCAUAAAUGAGCUGAAACGGUACUUGAUUAUUAAGAAGCUGAAAGAGGAGGAUCGAAAAGAACAGCAGAGCAAGAGUGACAUCUGAAGUAGUCAUCAGUAUUGUUCUUGUUGCUCCUGACCCAGAUUGCAUUCGUGAAAAUGCACAGUGUGUUGUCAGUGGAGGUUGCAGCCAUUCUGCAAAUGAACUUCAUCUCUGGUUUUGGAUAUGUCCAUCUCUGUGGCUUAUUGACAAUAUGUUCUGAGAGAAUUUGUGUAAAUUCAUUGCUUUAAGUGUCAUCACCCUAGAAUACAGAUUGGAAGAUAUGUAUUUGUUAUGUGUUUGCAGAUGAAUUGUCUGCAGGUGUAUUGACAGGCGCUGUGAUUUAAAGGUAGUGGGAUUUGCAAAGACAUGAGACAUUUCUAUAAAUUACUUUAUAUGUUGCUUAUGUGCUUUACUGUAUCCUUAAGUAUAAUAGCAUGGUGUUUUAACAGUUGGGUGGCCUGUUAGCAAGAGUCAUGCUUCCCUUUCAAAGAUUUUCUAUCAGUCUUGUUUUAUUUUUGAAGAUUUUACAUUGAAAUUAACAUAAAGCAUUGCAGUUUGCAAGAGCAGUUUGAAGUACAGACAAUCAUUUGCACCAUUAUCCAUUUACAGUAUGACUAAAGUGUGUAUAUUCACUGAUGGUGAAGCAGUUUGGUCCCCUUGGGAGCUAUGCUAAAAUACUGUUCAUUUGAUGUUGUUGCUGCAGAGAAAUGACUGUCAGUUGUCUUCAGCACUCUUUUACUGGGGCAGUAUUGUUUUGAAGUGGCAGUUCAUCUGUCACCAACAUGGGGGAUUUGGAUUAUUCAGAACAAAUCAUUUCUCUGUGGAUGUGUCGGAUAUUCACAGACAUGGUCUUUGGAAAGGUGUUGAAGGGGUUUGCAAAAAAUAUUCCGUCUUCCAGUUUGCUCUCUUCUCCCGCACCAGUAAACACUUCACUUCUAAUUUAUUUCAAGGUGGAUGCACUUUGACAAAGAUAAACCAACCAGCAGCAGCAUCUUUGUGGUAGCCUGUAAAGGCAAUUUGCAUUGACUCUAGCCCGACUGCUGAACACCAGCCUGGUGUAACGAUAUACUAUACCUGAAGAUUUUAUCCUAAUGAGUUACAAUGAAGUGGCAAAACUUUACAACAGUAUUGAGUGACUGUUACAGUCUUUAUUUUUUCAGUCAGCAUGAGAGGAAAGACAGUUAAUUUUAAUUGUCUAGGAACAAAUUACUGGUUCUUCAUGAUUGAGUUUAUUUAUUUUUUUAUGUAUCCUGUACUUUAAGCUUGAUGAGAUUUAUGAAAUAAUUGUUUAUGGUGCGUCAGUUGCCUUGAAAUGCUUUUCCAUGUGCAAUAAAAGAAGAAAAGCUGAAUUUUUAUACAUUCAUUGUGUGUUGUUAUCAGUUAGCAGAUGCUUUUUUGGGGGGACGGGUUGUUGGAGUGCUCUGCCUUUGCUAGGGCAGUACUGUGGUAGAAGAAUGAUGGUGGUUAUAUUAACAUUCUAAUUUCAAAAUUCUUUUUUUAAAGGUUUUAGCAUUUUUUUAAGGUUGUGUUGUUUAACUUUGUCAUUGUGAAAUACUUCUUUGAAAAUUUCGUGUUCCAGUUGUUAGGAUGGAGGUACUCUUAACUGUAAUUAUAAAACAUUCUUUGGAAAUUUUUUCAGUCUUCUCUAGGUACAAAGAGUCCCUUGAUGUAUAGGAUGUUGCCUUUCUCUGAAAUAUUUGUGUAUAAUUGUUUCUAUUUAUUAAAUUUAUCAUAAAUUUUUUUUUUACUUCAGAUUAAAAACUUAAUGCUUCAUAUUUGUUAUGAUGCAGGUCUUCAUCAUGUAGAUAUGACAGUUAUGAAUGUAGAAUCAUGCAGAAGUCAUAAGUUAGGGUUUCAGAACUAUACAUCCCUCUGUUAUCUUUCUCCUCACCUGCCACCUAAAUCCCCUUUUGGUUUUGAUUAAUAUGUGUCUGCAUUUUUGUGGGAGUGAGCUCAUGUAGACUAUAUAAAAUAAAAAAAUGGAAUGUUUGAAUUAGCUAUAAUUGGUCAAAAUCAUGCAUAAAUUGUGUACACGAAAAUAAUGUUACUUCUACAAUGUUUCAACUAUUUGUUCCCAGAAAUAACUUUACCAUGAGAUUGUAUACAUUGUAUGACAAAAUAAAGAAUGAACGUUCUU
rnacentral:misc_RNA from 1 species